rnacentral:rRNA from 1 species
AGUUUGAUCAUGGCUCAGGACGAACGCUGGCGGCGUGCCUAAUACAUGCAAGUCGAGCGAAUUUUAAGGAGCUUGCUCCUUAAGAUUAGCGGCGGACGGGUGAGUAACACGUGGGCAACCUGCCUGUAAGACUGGGAUAACACCGGGAAACCGGUGCUAAUACCGGAUAAUUCUUCACCUCUCAUGAGGUGAAGCUGAAAGUCGGUUUCGGCUGACACUUACAGAUGGGCCCGCGGCGCAUUAGCUAGUUGGUGAGGUAACGGCUCACCAAGGCGACGAUGCGUAGCCGACCUGAGAGGGUGAUCGGCCACACUGGGACUGAGACACGGCCCAGACUCCUACGGGAGGCAGCAGUAGGGAAUCUUCCGCAAUGGACGAAAGUCUGACGGAGCAACGCCGCGUGAGUGAUGAAGGCCUUCGGGUCGUAAAACUCUGUUGUUAGGGAAGAACAAGUACCGGAGUAACUGCCGGUACCUUGACGGUACCUAACCAGAAAGCCACGGCUAACUACGUGCCAGCAGCCGCGGUAAUACGUAGGUGGCAAGCGUUGUCCGGAAUUAUUGGGCGUAAAGCGCGCGCAGGCGGUCCUUUAAGUCUGAUGUG